CUCUCUCUCUCUCUCUCCAAAAUACAAGUAUAUAUGACUCGCUAUGGGUGCUGUGCAGUAAGUUUGGCGUCCUUUUGCCGUAUAUAGGUGCAGCGGUGGAAGAGACUAGCUAUUUGCGACCGGAGACAAGCACUUCUGCGAUCAUAUUGCAAUAGCUUCUGAAUUGGCAUUAACAAAAGACAAUCAAUGAUAACAUGGAAGUCCAGCAGCACUUUGCAAUCAGAAGCAACUUGCAAAUUACCUCUUGGCCUCAGUUUCUCCACUACAGUUAUUACUUUUUUUGCAAUUAUAUUUGAUUCUUAGCUGAAAUUUUGAUCUGUGUAUCAUUAGAUUUUUGCUGGGAGAUAAUUGGAUGAGACCUUGAUCAUCUUAAGUUAUGGUCUGCAUGGAGGAUGAUAAAAUGGCUAAUCGUGCCAAAU
rnacentral:misc_RNA from 1 species